GGUGCCACCAGCCUGGGGGACUUUGGGCCCAUCACAGGCUUGGAGGAGGCAUAGAGGUGGCGAAACUCCUCGUCGAACAGCUCCACCGCUGGGCCCGUAAACUUGGAGAGGAUGUUCCGGUGGACGUGUCCGCAGAGCCAGAGCCCCUGCAGGGCGACCUUGGUACCCGCUUCACGGAUGGCAAGACCCACAGUGCAGAAAUCAGCAAGUGUUUGCAGGUGAACAAUAAAGGCACCAGACGGGAUCUCUGGCCUCAGGGUUCCCUCCUGGUGCUCAGAUCCUGGCUCUCCUGCUGAAGCCCAAAAGGGUAAGUGAGAGCUGAGUCCCAGUGUCCCCAGCUCUGUGCUCAUGAGUCUCCUAGCUGCUGAAGCCCCCUGUGAAAUGUGGGAACCCCUGCCCCUUCUAACCAAAGAGGGGUCUGGGCAAGGCAGCUGCGUAACACGGGCUGCUCCUCCGUGGGAGUGGGCUCGGAAGAGGGAACACAAGGCGGGCACGCGGGAAUGGGAAUGACACAGCUCGCGUGCACUUGGCCCAGACACAGGGACGUGGGCAGAGGCCUCGGCCCUUCCUCCAUUUACUGGCUUUACAUGAAAACAAAAUGCCGAAGGCAUUUAUGGAUUGCUUCUUACGAUUCCUUGAUUUAACCAAAUUCCUUUUUCUCUCGGAUGGACAAGUCUCCUCAUUAACCCCCCCACACACACACCCCUACUCCCACCCAAAACCCUUGAAAAGGCCUGGUGAGAGCACAGAGGC